UACGGAGGAUGCGAGCGUUAUCCGGAUUUAUUGGGUUUAAAGGGUGCGUAGGCGGCCUGCUAAGUCUGGAGUGAAAGGUACCGGCUCAACCGGUACAGGCUCUGGAAACUGGCGGGCUAGAGAGCAGGAGAGGGCGGUGGAACUCCAUGUGUAGCGGUAAAAUGCGUAGAUAUAUGGAAGAACACCAGUGGCGAAGGCGGCUCUCUGGUCUGUAACUGACGCUGAGGCUCGAAAGCAUGGGUAGCGAACAGG
rnacentral:rRNA from 1 species